GGUGGGCACUCUAAGGAGACUGCCGGUGACAAACCGGAGGAAGGUGGGGAUGACGUCAAGUCAUCAUGGCCCUUACGGCCUGGGCUACACACGUGCUACAAUGGUCGGUACAAAGGGUUGCCAAGCCGCGAGGUGGAGCUAAUCCCAUAAAACCGAUCGUAGUCCGGAUCGCAGUCUGCAACUCGACUGCGUGAAGUCGGAAUCGCUAGUAAUCGUGGAUCAGCAUGCCACGGUGAAUACGUUCCCGGGCCUU
rnacentral:rRNA from 1 species